CUAACUAAUAGAACAAGGUUCUCCUGGAUGGCAGGAGAAACCAGAGCAAGAUGGCAGCGGGGCAGAACGAGGCCUUCUGGCUGAUGGUGAUUUUAUUUAUUCAUUAGGGAGAGGAUAUGUGAGCAGGAGGAAGGAACAGAGAGGGAAGAAAAAGGAGGAAGAAAGAAUCUUAAGCAGACUCUGUGCAGAGCAUGGAGCCCAACAUGGGGUGCGAUGCCAAGACCCUGAGAUCAUGACCUGAACUGAAAUCAAGAGCUGGAUGUUAACCGACUGAGCCAUCCA
rnacentral:lncRNA from 1 species